rnacentral:rRNA from 1 species
UACGUAGGGUGCAAGCGUUGUCCGGAAUUAUUGGGCGUAAAGAGCUCGUAGGCGGUUUGUCGCGUCUGCUGUGAAAACUCAGGGCUUAACCCUGAGCCUGCAGUGGGUACGGGCAGACUAGAGUGUGGUAGGGGAGAUCGGAAUUCCUGGUGUAGCGGUGGAAUGCGCAGAUAUCAGGAGGAACACCGGUGGCGAAGGCGGAUCUCUGGGCCAUAACUGACGCUGAGGAGCGAAAGCAUGGGGAGCGAGCAGG